GAUAAGGCUUUCUGAAAAAGCGCCUGAGGGUCAGAUAUCAGAAUCUGAAAAUCCAACAGUGGCGGACAGGGAACCUGAAAAAAGCCAGUGAUGACGACGGAGACCGACCCGUCGUUGACUAUUCUUCACGGUGCUGUGAUCGUAACCAUGGACGGUGAUAGCCGAGUGUUUCGGGACGGGGCCAUCGCCAUUGAAGGGCACCAAAUCAAAGCCAUUGGCCAGUCUUCCCAGAUUCUUCACCAAUUUUCUGCUUUCGCCACCCAGAUUAUUGAUCUCCACGGCCACAUCUUACUUCCUGGAUUCAUUAACACUCACGUUCACACUUCUCAGCAACUAGCUAGAGGCAUAGCUGAUGAUGUUGAUUUAAUCACCUGGUUGCACGGUCGCAUUUGGCCAUACGAAUCCCAUAUGACCGAAGAGGAUUCUUACAUUUCCACUUUGCUAUGUGGGAUCGAACUCAUUCACUCUGGUGUUACAUGCUUCGCUGAAGCUGGAGGGCAAUAUGUUUCUGGAAUGGCUAGAGCAGUGAAACUACUGGGCUUACGUGCAUGUUUGACCCAGUCAACCAUGGAUGCUGGUGAGGGUUUGCCGGCAUCUUGGGCAGCUCGAACUACUGAUGAUUGUAUUCAGUCUCAGAAGGAGAAUUAUGAUAAGCAUAAUAAUACAGCUAAUGGGCGCAUCAGAGUUUGGUUUGGAAUAAGGCAAAUUAUGAAUUCUACUGAACGCUUGCUCCUUGAGACGAGAGAUGCAGCAAGAGACCUGAAAACCGGAAUACACAUGCAUGUUGCAGAGAUACCAUAUGAGAAUCAACUAGUCAUGGAUGCUCACAAAGUAAAUCAUGGAACUGUUACAUACUUGAAGAAGAUAGGUUUCCUGCAAAACAAUCUGUUAGCAGCUCAUACUGUCUGGGUUGAUGGUAGUGAGAUAUCGUUCCUCUCAAGGGCAGGGGUCAAAGUGUCUCACUGUCCUGCUGCUGCAAUGAGAAUGCUUGGAUUUGCGCCUGUAAAGGAGAUGCUCGAUGCUGGCAUCUGCGUCUCCUUGGGAACUGAUGGGGCACCAUCAAACAAUCGAAUGAGCAUUGUUGACGAGAUGUACAUAGCGUCUCUGAUUAACAAAGGACGGGAAGUUUAUGCAAAGGGAACUACAGAUCCAAUGGCGUUUCCUGCUGAGACUGUUCUGAGAAUGGCUACUGUCAAUGGCGCAAGGUCAAUAUUAUGGGACGAUGAACUAGGGUCACUUGAGGUUGGUAAGAAGGCUGACAUUGUAGUAGUCAAUCCUUCAUUAUGGCCUAUGGUUCCUGUUCAUGACUGUAUAUCGAACAUCGUAUAUUGCAUCAGAACGGAAAAUGUGGUUGCUGUCAUGUGCAAUGGGGUAUGGAUAAUGAAGGACAGGAAAAUUCAAAAUGUUGACGAGAUCCUGGCGAUCGCAAUGCUCUGCGUUCCCGUGGACGACUUGCAUUUCACGUCAAACGUGAUGGACCUCGCCUGCGGCAGCGUUUCGAACAUGAGCGUCUCGUUCCACGAGGGAUUUCCCCGGCAUCGUCCGCCGUAGCCCUACAAUGUGGUGGAACAGUUGCGGGUCGCCUCCCGGACUUUGACAAAGACGUUCUUCGUGACCGGCUUUCGGUCUACUCUGAGGCCCUCCGCCGACAGAACCUUGAUCUUUAGAGUUCGCGAUCCUGCGGGCACUGACAUUUUAAAUGAAAACAAUGAGACGCGUUUCUUUGGUUCAACGCAGAAAUGGCAGAGCAAACGUGUGCCAAUUGGGUCCCUGCUUAGAUGGCCGGCCCUCAUGCCCUGUUAACUCACAUCGUCACCAACCUUCGCCAAAAAUUUCCUUGCGAUGAUGAAGUGAUUUAAUUGAAAUAGGAGACGAAGAGGAAGGUAGUGAGGCGAUGUGCCGACGUCCCUGGUAAUGAUCGUGUGUCCCUUCGAUCUGGCCAAAGCUUCUCUCUUGCUUGUGUUUCAUCUCCUUCUGACUUUUCCAUGGCUGUGUGUUGGAAGGGAUUGAAGGGAAUAAAUUAUUUUAGUUUCAGAGGAAGGGUGGAUGGGGGAGAGAGAAAGGGAGAGAGGAAGUAAACUUUUCCUGAGAAAGAAAGAAUGAAAGAAAGAGAAAGAACAGAGGAAGAAAACGUGUCUCAAUUUUUUCUCUAACUUGGCAGCCAUGUCAGCAUAAGUGGGUUAAAAAGGAAAAAAUUAACGGUCAAACUUGGUCAAACUUAACAUCAUCUAAUUUUAGAAUAUAUUUGCUAUGAAAUUAAAUUUUUAGGAUAUUUUAAAGCUGAAAAAAACUUGGGAUGCUAAGUGUUCUUUAGUAUAAACUUUCGAGAUAUUUUAGUACCUCAUUCUAAGUUUAUAUUGAUUCUGAGGGCCUGGGCAUUGGCAGCACGUAUAUAAUUCUAAGGGGAAAAAAAUAAAAGUCGCUGGGGCAAUGAUCAUAAAACUGAACCGAAGCGAACCAAGCAAUCCAACUAGUUGAAUGGUGCGUCGACUGGACUCGAUAUGACCCAGUUUCGACCAAAAAAGCCAAAUUGAAAUGGAGUUGAGCCACUAUUGAGACCGAAUAGAAAGCCAUAUGAGAAUAUAAAGCCAUGGGCUUUUGGUCUGAUGAAAAAGUAAAAAAAAAAAAAACUUAAAAACCUAUGAAAAAGAUUGACUAUCUUCAAACGCCAUUGUAUUUUCAACUUAUUAGAAGCUGUUAAUUCAUUAAAAAUUUCAUAUAU